rnacentral:rRNA from 1 species
UACAGAGGGGGCAAGCGUUGUUCGGAAUUACUGGGCGUAAAGGGCAUGCAGGCGGUCCGACACGUUUUGUGUGACAGCGGGUGGCUUAACUACCCGAGGAUACGAAAGACGGUGGGACUUGAGGACUCGAGAGGGACACGGAAUUCCGGGUGGAGUGGUGAAAUGCGUAGAGAUCCGGAGGAACACCAAAGGCGAAGGCAGUGUCCUGGCGAGUGACUGACGCUGAGGUGCGAAAGCCAGGGGAGCGAACGGG